GCCCAGUGCAGUAGUGCGUGCCUGUAGUGUCAGCUACUCAGGAGGCUGAGGUGGGAGGAUCGCUUGAGCCCAGGAGUUCUGGACUGUAGUGCUCUAUGCCUAUAGGGUGUCCGCACUAAGUUUGGCAUCAAUAUGGUGACCUCCUGGGAGCGGGGGACCACCAGGUUUCCUAAAGAAGGGUGAACCAGCCCAGGUUGGAAAUGGAGCAGGUCAAAACUCCCGUGCUGAUGAGUAGUGGGAUCGCACCUGUGAAUAGCCACUGCACUCCAGCAUGGGCAACGGAGCAAGACCUCGUCUCA
rnacentral:SRP_RNA from 1 species